UGGCUCAGGACGAACGCUGGCGGCGUGCUUAACACAUGCAAGUCGAACGGAAAGGCCUCUUUCGGGGGGUACUCGAGUGGCGAACGGGUGAGUAACACGUGAGUAACCUGCCCUUGACUUUGGGAUAACUUCAGGAAACUGGGGCUAAUACCGGAUAGGAGCUCCUGCUGCAUGGUGGGGGUUGGAAAGUUUCGGCGGUUGGGGAUGGACUCGCGGCUUAUCAGCUUGUUGGUGGGGUAGUGGCUUACCAAGGCUUUGACGGGUAGCCGGCCUGAGAGGGUGACCGGCCACAUUGGGACUGAGAUACGGCCCAGACUCCUACGGGAGGCAGCAGUGGGGAAUAUUGCACAAUGGGUGGAAGCCUGAUGCAGCAACGCCGUGUGCGGGAUGACGGCCUUCGGGUUGUAAACCGCUUUCGCUCAUGACGAAGCUUUGUGUGACGGUAGUGGGUAAAGAAGCACCGGCUAACUACGUG
rnacentral:rRNA from 1 species